UACGGAGGGUGCAAGCGUUGUCCGGAUUUAUUGGGUUUAAAGGGUGCGUAGGCGGCCCGUUAAGUCAGCGGUGAAAUCCCAGGGCUCAACCCUGGAACUGCCGUUGAUACUGACGGGCUUGAGUUCGGUUAAGGCGGGCGGAACUGGUGGUGUAGCGGUGAAAUGCAUAGAUACCACCAAGAACCCCGAUUGCGUAGGCAGCUCGCUGAGCCGAAACUGACGCUGAGGCACGAAAGCGUGGGGAGCGAACAGG
rnacentral:rRNA from 2 species